UACGUAGGGUGCGAGCGUUAAUCGGAAUUACUGGGCGUAAAGCGUGCGCAGGCGGCGCCGCAAGUCAGGCGUGAAAUCCCCGAGCUUAACUUGGGAAUGGCGCUUGAAACUACGGUGCUGGAGUGUGGCGGAGGGAGGUGGAAUUCCGCGUGUAGCAGUGAAAUGCGUAGAUAUGCGGAGGAACACCGAUGGCGAAGGCAGCCUCCUGGGAUAACACUGACGCUCAUGCACGAAAGCGUGGGGAGCAAACAGG
rnacentral:rRNA from 1 species